UACGAAGGUCCCAAGCGUUAUCCGGAUUUAUUGGGUUUAAAGGGUGCGUAGGCGGGUUAUUAAGUCAGUGGUGAAAGCCUGCAGCUUAACUGCAGAAUUGCCAUUGAUACUGAUGAUCUUGAGUAUGAUUGAGGUGGGCGGAAUGUGUCAUGUAGCGGUGAAAUGCUUAGAUAUGACACAGAACACCGAUUGCGAAGGCAGCUCGCUAAGUCAUAACUGACGCUGAUGCACGAAAGCGUGGGGAGCAAACAGG
rnacentral:rRNA from 1 species